rnacentral:rRNA from 1 species
GGGGAAUAUUGCACAAUGGGCGAAAGCCUGAUGCAGCAACGCCGCGUGAGCGAUGAAGGCCUUCGGGUCGUAAAGCUCUGUCCUUGGGGAAGAAAAAAAUGACGGUACCCUUGGAGGAAGCCCCGGCUAACUACGUGCCAGCAGCCGCGGUAAUACGUAGGGGGCGAGCGUUAUCCGGAAUUAUUGGGCGUAAAGAGUGCGUAGGUGGUUACCUAAGCGCAGGGUUUAAGGCAAUGGCUCAACCAUUGUAUGCCUUGCGAACUGGGCUACUUGAGUGCAGGAGAGGAAAGCGGAAUUCCUAGUGUAGCGGUGAAAUGCGUAGAUAUUAGGAGGAACACCAGUGGCGAAGGCGGCUUUCUGGACUGUAACUGACACUGAGGCACGAAAGCGUGGGGAGCAAAC